rnacentral:rRNA from 1 species
GAUGAACGCUGGCGGCGUGCCUAAUACAUGCAAGUCGAGCGAACGGACGAGAAGCUUGCUUCUCUGAUGUUAGCGGCGGACGGGUGAGUAACACGUGGAUAACCUACCUAUAAGACUGGGAUAACUUCGGGAAACCGGAGCUAAUACCGGAUAAUAUUUUGAACCGCAUGGUUCAAAAGUGAAAGACGGUCUUGCUGUCACUUAUAGAUGGAUCCGCGCUGCAUUAGCUAGUUGGUAAGGUAACGGCUUACCAAGGCAACGAUGCAUAGCCGACCUGAGAGGGUGAUCGGCCACACUGGAACUGAGACACGGUCCAGACUCCUACGGGAGGCAGCAGUAGGGAAUCUUCCGCAAUGGGCGAAAGCCUGACGGAGCAACGCCGCGUGAGUGAUGAAGGUCUUCGGAUCGUAAAACUCUGUUAUUAGGGAAGAACAUAUGUGUAAGUAACUGUGCACAUCUUGACGGUACCUAAUCAGAAAGCCACGGCUAACUACGUGCCAGCAGCCGCGGUAAUACGUAAGUGGCAAGCGUUAUCCGGAAUUAUUGGGCGUAAAGCGCGUAGCGGUUUUUUAAGUCUGAUGUGAAAGCCCACGGCUCAACCGUGGAGGGUCAUUGGAAACUGGAAAACUUGAGUGCAGAAGAGGAAAGUGGAAUUCCACGUGUAGCGGUGAAAUGCGCAGAGAUAUGGAGGAACACCAGUGGCGAAGGCGACUUUCUGGUCUGUAACUGACGCUGAUGUGCGAAAGCGUGGGGAUCAAACAGGAUUAGAUACCCUGGUAGUCCACGCCGUAAACGAUGAGUGCUAAGUGUUAGGGGGUUUCCGCCCCUUAGUGCUGCAGCUAACGCAUUAAGCACUCCGCCUGGGGAGUACGACCGCAAGGUUGAAACUCAAAGGAAUUGACGGGGACCCGCACAAGCGGUGGAGCAUGUGGUUUAAUUCGAAGCAACGCGAAGAACCUUACCAAAUCUUGACAUCCUUUGACAACUCUAGAGAUAGAGCCUUCCCCUUCGGGGGACAAAGUGACAGGUGGUGCAUGGUUGUCGUCAGCUCGUGUCGUGAGAUGUUGGGUUAAGUCCCGCAACGAGCGCAACCCUUAAGCUUAGUUGCCAUCAUUAAGUUGGGCACUCUAAGUUGACUGCCGGUGACAAACCGGAGGAAGGUGGGGAUGACGUCAAAUCAUCAUGCCCCUUAUGAUUUGGGCUACACACGUGCUACAAUGGACAAUACAAAGGGCAGCGAAACCGCGAGGUCAAGCAAAUCCCAUAAAGUUGUUCUCAGUUCGGAUUGUAGUCUGCAACUCGACUACAUGAAGCUGGAAUCGCUAGUAAUCGUAGAUCAGCAUGCUACGGUGAAUACGUUCCCGGGUCU